AUGUCCAGUCAUACACUCCAGGCAGAAAGUCCCUGUACAGAACACAAGGCACGGGUCUCCUUCGUCGGGCAGGGGUGUCUCUCCAAGUCUCGGACGGUCCCCUCUUGGAGAAACCAACAGAGCAGCUGGAACAUUGUCAAAUUAAAUAAGCAAGCACAGGAGUUCCCAGGAGCCGGGGCUGAGGCGGGGGGAGUCGGGGCGGGGAGAGGGGGGAGUUUGUCUCUGGCUCCAGGCCUCCGUGGGGCCCAUGGCCUCCGAUCAAGCUGGACUGGGGCUGACACAGCUUUGUCACCAUUUAGGAGAUGUUCUUUCGAACUUGGCAACACAGAAAUUUACAUCAGGCCUUGUACAACCUUGGCAGAAUGUAGCCAAGGUCCAGAAGAAGUUCAGAAAAAACAACAGCACAAAAAAAACAAACAAACCAGAGGUGCUCUGGCCUCCGAAUCCCUCCCCAUGGGAAAGACGAAGCACAGAGCUUUUCGCCAAGUUUCCCAAUAUCGUUGGCAUUUAGAGAAAAGGCUGGUCAAACACACAACCAGCAUAGAGAGAAGCGAAGGCAGUGGAGUUCACAUGACUACUUUAUAUUAA
rnacentral:lncRNA from 1 species